CUUGAGCCCAGGAGUUCAAGGCUGUGGCGAGCUGUGUUUGCACUCCAGCCUAGGUGUCAGAGUGAGACUAUGUCUUAAAAAAAAAAAAAAAGAAGAAAGAAAUGUAUUAUAACAUUAGGAGUUGUAGGCGGCAACAUUACAACCAGUAUUUUUCUGAUUACGAUUUUGUAUGUUACAAAUAUUCUAUAUUGAGCGCAUUAUACCAAUAAUCAGAAAACAUUGCUGAAUCAUUUUGUCUUUAAAGAAUCAUCUAAUAGGGAUGGGAAGGAAUACAAAAGUUGUAUUAAGUAAAUGGGAUGAAGCUCUCAGUUUAGAGAUCAAGAUGAUUGGGGCAUAAGAAGAAGAAAAACAUUCCUGCAGGACUAGUCUGGGCAGAAGAGGAGUUGUGGUAACUAGAUAUGAGGAGAAAGAGAGGAAGGAGGCACAGAGCAGUUGGAGCUUGCUGCCUGGAAGAAUGACGGUAUGAUAAAGAGAUGGGAUGAUGUGAAAUAAUUCACAUUGUUAAUUAUGAAGUGUGUUUUGAAUCACCUCAGUGUUACCCAGAAACGACACUCAGUUAUCAUGUUCAGAUAGGGGA
rnacentral:sRNA from 1 species